CCAUUAGUUCGGAACAACAAAUAAUUUUUCAUUUCAAUUUUUUUCUAUGAGAACAGGAAAGUACCAAGUCUUUUACCGGGACUAUCACUGCUAGCGUUAACCAUAAAGAACACCAAUGUAAACAUUUAAAUCUUUUAAAUAGCUUAACAAUUUCAAUAGAGUUUACUUACUGAGAAAUAUCAACAAGUCUUAAAUAACAAAUUCAUACCUUUUACUCUCGUUCUCACGCCCUUUACGUUAACCUUAGAUAAGAAGAACGUCGUUUAUCAUGUCGAUAUUUCUACCGUACUGUUCAACAUUUAUUGGACUUUAAUUUUAAUAGCUGUGAAUCAUACAUGUAAAUGAAUAUCGGAAAAUUUGUAUACCUGCAAGUUCAGCAAAAUUUAAGCAC
rnacentral:lncRNA from 1 species